rnacentral:RNase_P_RNA from 1 species
GAGGAAAGUCCGGGCAACGUAGAGCAGCGUACUUCCUAACGGGAAGGUAUCGGUGAAAACCGGUAACAGAAAGUGCAGCAGAAAAUAGGUAGCUUUGGCUGUAUAGCCGGAGUCAUAGUGAAAAGGUGAGGUAAGAGCUCACCGUGCAGGCAGUGAUGUUUUGCAGCUAGGUAAACCUUACGCGUUGAAAGGCCAUGUAAACCGGGGAUAAAGCCUGUUAUCAGGUUUUGAAAGGGUGGCUCGUCCGAUCCCGGAGGGUAGGCUGAUGGACUCCGUGAGUGAUUGCGGAGCUAGAUAAAUGAUAGACGUUCCGACUGGUCGGAAAACAGAACCCGGCUUA